GAAUGUAUGAGAAUACUACUUGGAUAACCGUAGUAAUUCUAGAGCUAAUACAUGCAACGACGCCCGACCGUUUCACUACGGAAGGGCUGUAUUUAUUGGAUACCAAAACCAUCCUUCCCUCGGGAAGUUUUGUUUGAUGAUUCACAAUAACUGAUCGGAUCGCCACUGUGGUGGCGACAGGUCAUUCAACAUUCUGCCCUAUCAGCUUUCGAUGGUUGUGUAGUGGACAACCAUGGCCAUAACGGGUAACGGAGAAUCAGGGUUCGAUUCCGGAGAAGGAGCUUGAGAAUUGGCUACUACAUCUAAGGAAGGUAGCAGGCGCGCAAAUUACCCAAUCCCGAUUCGGGGAGGUAGUGACAAAAAAUAACAAUACCGGGCCUUUUUGGGCUUGGUAAUUGGAAUGAGGGAGAGUUAAACGGACCAUCGAGUAUCCAUUGGAGGGCAAGUCUGGUGCCAGCAGCUGCGGUAAUACCAGCUCCAAUAGCGUAUAUUAAAGUUGUUGCAGUUAAAAAGCUCGUAGUUGGACUUGUGUGCGCUGUCCGCGGGUGGCCUGCGCCCAAAAGGGCGUUUCGGUUCGGCCCCGGUGGCGCCUUGAAAUCUGCAGCUGGGGGGACGUUGGCCUUAACUGGUCGGCGACCGCACGCCGGCUGCUCGGUUACUGUGAGAAAAUUAGAGUGUUCAAGGCAGGCAUUGGGUGCAAUUGAAUACAUUAGCAUGGAAUAAUAAAAUAUGGCUCCUGCCGUAUUUUGUUGGUUUUGACUGGUGGGAGUAAUGAUUGAUAGGGACGGUUGGGGGUGCUAGUAUUGAGCGGCCAGAGGUGAAAUUCAUGGAUUCGCUCAAGACUAACUUAUGCGAAAGCGUUCACCAAGGACGUCCUCUUUAAUCAAGAACGAAAGUUGGGGGAUCGAAGACGAUCAGAUACCGUCGUAGUCUCAACCAUAAACUAUGUCGACUUGGGAUCGGCGGUAGUUUUAUCAUUAAGACACUGUCGGGACCACGGGAGAAAUCAAAGUGUCUGGACUCUGGGGGAAGUAUGGUCGCAAGGCUGAAACUUGAAGGAAUUGACGGAAGGGCACCACCAGGAGUGGAGCCUGCGGCUUAAUUUGACCCAACACGGGGAAACUUACCAGGUCCAGAGAUGUAGAGGAUUGACAGAUUGAAGCUCUUUCUUGAUCACUUCGGUGGUGGUGCAUGGCCGUUCUUAGUUGGUGGAGUGAUUUGUCUGGUUAAUUCCGUUAACGAACGAGACCUCAGCCUGCUAGUGUAGUCGGCUGG
rnacentral:rRNA from 1 species